rnacentral:misc_RNA from 1 species
AAGUCGUAACAAGGUUUCCGUAGGUGAACCUGCGGAAGGAUCAUUAACAAAUCGUUUGUAUGGCUUCGGCUGUACAUAUUCACCCCAAGCCUGCUAGUCAGGCUUAGGUUAGGCCGGUGUUAUACACUGGCCACAUAGACGCUUGUAUUGUUUGACAGAGUAUAGUUGCAUCAAAAAAUGACAACUUUUAACAAUGGAUCUCUUGGCUCUU